rnacentral:rRNA from 1 species
UUCCUAAGGUGUGAUUAGCGAUUGGGGUGAAGUCGUAACAAGGUAUCCGUACGGGAACGUGCGGCUGGAUCACCUCCUUUCUAAGGAGA